rnacentral:rRNA from 1 species
GGGGGAUAACGCAGCGAAAGCUGUGCUAAUACCGCAUACGAUCUCUGGAUGAAAGCGGGGGACCUUCGGGCCUCGCGCGAUUGGAGCGGCCGAUAUCAGAUUAGCUAGUUGGCGGGGUAAAGGCCCACCAAGGCGACGAUCUGUAGCUGGUCUGAGAGGACGACCAGCCACACUGGAACUGAGACACGGUCCAGACUCCUACGGGAGGCAGCAGUGGGGAAUUUUGGACAAUGGGCGCAAGCCUGAUCCAGCAAUGCCGCGUGCAGGAUGAAGGCCUUCGGGUUGUAAACUGCUUUUGUACGGAACGAAACGGUUGUCUCUAAUAAAGACGGCUAAUGACGGUACCGUAAGAAUAAGCACCGGCUAACUACGUG